CCUACGGGUGGCAGCAGUGAGGAAUAUUGGUCAAUGGGCGUAAGCCUGAACCAGCCAAGUCGCGUGAGGGAUGAAGGUUCUAUGGAUCGUAAACCUCUUUUAUAAGGGAAUAAAGUGUGGGACGUGUCCUAUUUUGUAUGUACCUUAUGAAUAAGGAUCGGCUAACUCCGUGCCAGCAGCCGCGGUAAUACGGAGGAUCCGAGCGUUAUCCGGUUUUAUUGGGUUUAAAGGGUGCGUAGGCGGCCUUUUAAGUCAGCGGUGAAAGUCUGUGGCUCAACCAAAAAAUUGCCGUUGAAACUGGGGGGCUUGAGUGUGUGUGAGGCAGGUGGAAUGCGUGGUGUAGCGGUGAAAUGCUUAGAUAUCACGCAGAACCCCGAUUGCGAAGGCAGCCUGCCAAGCCAUGACUGACGCUGAUGCACGAAAGCGUGGGGAUCAAACAGGAUUAGAUACCCCUGUAGUC
rnacentral:rRNA from 1 species